UGAUUUCUACUUCUAACAAAUUCGAGUUUUGAGUUUGAAUUUGAAUUGGUUUUGGAGUUUUAGAUAAAAAUCAAUUUGUAAUGCAUAGCCAACAUAAUAUAACUUUAGAAGAAGAUAGCGGUAAGGAUAACUGAUUUGUACUAAAAAAUCAAUUCUGAUGAUACAAAUGAUUCCAAAAGACUAAGAAGUAAAUGCACAAUAAUUGAACAGCAAGAAAUUACUCGCCAGUCCAGUCGGGAUGACUGGUUCAAGAUGGACUUAUCCUGAGUAGAUUAGUGAAAAUAUUCAAGAAUGGAUCCAUGAAUGUGGAAUAGCAAAGAGUGUAGUGCCAGUACCACAUCAAAGGGUAAAUAAACCGCUGGGUUAGGGUGUAAGUUGUGGCGUUGGUGGCCUCAACAUAUACUUUCGUAAACCAAGAAGCGCAUAAGUAAUAUAGGGACCAUUGAUAUGUCAUUACGUACCGUAUGAUAUGUGUACGGCCCAAUUAAUGUACUUCAGCAGUCACAUCGAUAAGUAAUUUGCAGCGCUGUAUCAUUUACUCGCUCUGACCGCAAAUGUAAACAUUUAGGUCGAACUUUUUGGAACAGUGCAUCGCGUCACGGCCCCGGAAUAAAUAACCUAGUUGAGUUAAUUUAAAAGUAAAGAAAUUCCUUUUAUUAUUUAAAC